UACGGGGGGGGCAAGCGUUGUUCGGAAUUACUGGGCGUAAAGGGCUCGUAGGUGGCCAACUAAGUCGGACGUGAAAUCCCUCAGCUUAACUGGGGAACUGCGUCCGAUACUGGAUGGCUUGAGUUUGGGAGAGGGAUGCGGAAUUCCAGGUGUAGCGGUGAAAUGCGCAGAUAUCGGGAGGAACACCAGUAGCGAAGGCGGCUCGCUGGGCCACACCUGACGCUGAGACGCGAAAGCUAGGGGAGCGAACAGG
rnacentral:rRNA from 1 species